AGUAAAGCUGUGUCACUUCAGGGGUCUGUCUGAGGCUCUUGCAGGAGAAUUCUAAUGGCUGGAUUUCCUUUUUUCGGCACAGGGCAUAAUCCAAGAUCUCAGACACACCUGUCCUGUCAUUUGUUCAUCCUGAGAAUUCAAGGAACACUGCCUCAGUUUCUGCAUGCCUAUCUCAGAGCUUAUAAAUAGGUGGAGAAAUUACUAUGAAGGCCCCAGUGCAGAAUGCCU